AUCAUAGAGCCCUAUUAAUUUAGAUACUUGUUUUAAAUACCUCUUCCUUGCGUAUUUGCAGAGAUGUUGCCUUUCCUUUUUCUUUUACGAGAACAUCAUUUAUUUAUUUUAUUUUAGUUUACAAAAAUGUCAAUUUUUUUUUAAAUAAAAUUCGUGUUGAUUUGGUUCUAAGAAGCUAUGAUUGGCUUCUAAUCAUGUAAUGGGGAUAACAUUUUGAGAAUGUUGCCUUAAUUAUAGCAGAUUUACUGGUCCCUAGAAUGGUUUCAAUCUUUGUAGGCAAUAAAAAAUCUGGUAUGAUAUGUUGGUCUUUCCAAUUUUUUCAUUUGUUAAAAAGGUAUAGUUAAUUUUUUGCAGCUCAAAUAACAAGAAGAUGUUAGGAUUCACUUGCAUUCAGAUCCUAUUUUCUUAAAUUAUAUGUUGUUUUCCGUACUUUUGGUUAUGUUAUUUUUAUAUAUUACUAUAUUAAAGGCGUGAACAAAUCAAGAUUCAAUCAUUCUAAAACCAGUUCAUGGAAUAGUAAAAUUUUUAAGUUAAAAAUGUUAUAUUUUUCCUUUUUCUUUUGCCUUUUACAUUGAAGGAUGGUCACUAUUGGAUAGGGUGGUUCUUUAAUUUCAGCCUUAGGUCCUUCAUUAUUUGCAUUCAUUCACUAUUUUCGAAUGGUGGAUACCUUUUGAAUUGUCUACCUCUAAAUUGUCUCAGAUAUGUAUGAUAUUUAUUUUUGAAAUAGCUCUGACAUUUUUUCACCUUUUUUUCUUUAUACACACUAUGAUUAUGUUCUGAAAAACACUUCAAAUUUUUGUGCUAUUGUAUUGUGCAAAGAACUGAAUAAGUUUUACCCAAUCAUAGACUUAUUGUUUCUCUCUCUCUGUCGGUGCCUAUUAGUUGUUCUGCUAAGUUUCUCUAUGAUGAUUUGUUUUGCUAAGUUUCUCUAUGCCCCUGGUCUUACUGCAAAACCCAUGUAAAUUGAUUGUGUAAAGUGAUGAUUUUGGUUAUAUGUUGCUUUCAUAAGGCUGAGGAUGUAGAAAUGGAAGAAGGUUAGCGGUAUUGAAUGCACUUUAGUAUCUUUUGGGUUAUUUUUCCCACUUAUUAAAGAUCCUUCAGAAUUCAGAAUUCAGUUAAGUCUGUCACAUAUCAUAGAUUUGUUGAGAAUGGUCCUUACUGGGAGGCAAAGAAUUUUGACGGUUUCUUGACAAUGAAUGCUCAAAUUUCUCAACGCCUGUUUAGUUGUUGCUUGGGUUUUCCAAAAUAACUGAAAAUCAUCAAUUUCUUGGUUUUCGUUCAUGUCUCUGCUUUUAUAUUUUUCACUGGUGUACAAAGAAUAAAAUUGCAGAUGAAAUAAUGGUUGCGAGGAAUUAAUUUUGAAGUGGAAUAAAGUGGUAUUGAUUCUAUAACACUAACAACUUACAGUGAGGUCUAAACUAACAUUAUAUGUUCUCAAGAGUACCAAUGUCAACAUUUUCUUUUAAAACAACUUUAAAAUUUUAUUACCUUUUUGUAAAACUUUGAACUCAUAUCUUAAACGCCAAUAACUUUUGCAGCAUCAUUUUGUUUUGGGAAUUUUAGCUGUGCUUCAGUUCUGCCGUUAGUUGCUCCUCUAUACGUAGAGAUAUCAUGCAAAAAGUCCAGCCUAAAUGGAUGUGUAAUCAACUACAAUCGCUGAUGUAUUCUAACUGACCAUAUAAUAAAUGUAAUGUUCAGCUGCUUAUCUUUUAAGAAUUUUGAACUUCCUCUUGAAUUUGUUCAUGAGCGACUCAAAACAAAGACAUUUCUGGUGCAUAUCAAAUCAGUGCAAACACAAUUAGCAGAUGCAAGGCAGCACUACACAGUGAUAAAGUAUUCCGAAACUAUUGACAUUGCCACUUCUGUCCAGUUAGCAGCAAAUUGUAGGGAAACUCAUGACUGCAGGAGAAGCCAAUGGUUCUUCAAAAGUUUGCCUUCGACUUGCUGGAAAGUUUGAUGAUACAGAUAAUGUGGAAGGAGAUGAAUCUUAAAAUACGUACAACUACUCCACCAAGAAAACAAGAUUAAGCUGAAUUCAUAAUAUUCAACUUUUGUACCACUCGAACUUGAUAGUUUUUGCCUUCUUGUUUUGCCAUUCUAGAUUUGACAGAUUGCUUGGAACUUUUUGAAAGGAUUAUUGCUAUAUCUACGAACUGUGUACAUUUGUGUGUUGUUA